GCCAGCGUGGCAGAGUGGUUUGAGCUUUGGACUAUGACUUUGGAGAUCAAGGUUCGAAUCCAGGCUUGGCC